rnacentral:rRNA from 1 species
GGAUUCCCCUAGUAACGGCGAGUGAAGAGGGAAAAGCCCAGCACCGAAGCCUGCGGCAGAUUUGCUGUUAGGCAAUGUGGUGUUUGGGUCGGCUCGUGGGACCGCCACUCCACUCGAAGUCCAGCAUUGAGUAUGGUUACUGGAUUUGGCCCAGAGAGGGUGAAAGGCCCGUACGGGUGGAGUAUCAGACAUGUGAGGUGGUUCACCAGGUCGACCUUAGAGUCGGGUUGUUUGGGAAUGCAGCCCAAAGUGGGUGGUAAACUCCAUCCAAGGCUAAAUACAAGCACGAGUCCGAUAGCGAACAAGUACCGUGAGGGAAAGUUGAAAAGUACUCUGAAGAGAGAGUAAACAGUACGUGAAACCGCAUGCAGGUAAACGGGUGGCGUCAAGCUGCAAGCCCGGAGAAAUCAGUCGGCUAGGUUGUUGUGUAUGCGCCUGGCGCAUCCAUCAGUCAGAGUAUGAUUGGGUAGUCCACUAGUAAACAGUGGGCCUGUCCGCAAGGGCAGGAUAUGUGUACCGGGUGGGUGCCGGAGCAUGCUAUCCGUCUAAGGACUGUCUAGCCGGUGCACUUUCUCCGUGGUCGGCACCACGACCGGUGGUAUUGCCAGUCUACUGUGUCCAAGUCGCAUUUGGUAGGUCCUUGUGGCCAACUGAGUGUGAUCACAGGCAAACUCAGUAAACGGCGUGAGGGUGCUUCGGCACUUUCAUGUGUUAUCGGCUACUGGUUGUCAACGGGCCUGCCCAGUGUUUGUUGUAACCGACACAGGGUGGUCCGGUGGGGCAUGGUGGUAAGAAUAACUGUGCAAGGCACUGGGGUUAUCGGCCUCAAAUGCGUCCUGCGUCUACGUUACAAGUGUAGGUGCUAUGUCGCCGCUGCCUGCUCGGUGCUGGGUGUGAUUGGCGUGUUGCCUGCGCAAAGUAGGCCCGCUAAUGGCUCGGUUCGAGGUGGGUAGUUGGUGGCGUUGUCGACGGCGUAGGGCGCGUGUG